CCCGGCGACGAUGGAGUCUCUCUCCGACCGACCUCCCUCAGUCCUUAGUCACGACGAUUGGCAAACUGUUUUUUGUUGCUUCUCACGACGACGACGAUCGAGUCACUCACGACGACCGAGUCUCUCUCCGUCUUCCCACCAGACUCGCUUCUCUCGACUCUCUAUCUUUUCUCGACAGAUGUCAACUUCAAGUGUUAGCGGCAAUACCUCAGAUCAAUUGACAUAUUGCAACAAAAAUUGUCCUAAAUGUCG